rnacentral:rRNA from 1 species
ACGAACGCUGGCGGCGUGCUUCACACAUGCCAGUCGAACGGUGAAGCGCCUUCCUUUUUGGUGGGUGUGGAUGAGUGGCGAACGGGUGAGUAACACGUGAGUAACCUGCCCCCUUCUUCUGGAUAACCGCAUGAAAGUGUGGCUAAUACGGGAUAUUCUGGGUCUGUCGCAUGAUGGGUCUGGGAAAGAUAUUGUUUCGGUGGGGGAUGGGCUCGCGGCCUAUCAGCUUGUUGGUGGGGUGAUGGCCUACCAAGGCGGUGACGGGUAGCCGGCCUGAGAGGGUGGACGGUCACACUGGGACUGAGACACGGCCCAGACUCCUACGGGAGGCAGCAGUGGGGAAUAUUGCACAAUGGGCGCAAGCCUGAUGCAGCGACGCCGCGUGAGGGAUGGAGGCCUUCGGGUUGUGAACCUCUUUCGCCAGUGAAGCAGGCCUGCCUCGUUUGUGGGUGGGUUGACGGUAGCUGGAGAAGAAGCGCCGGCUAACUACGUG